GCAGCCUCUGCCACAUCAAACUCCCCAUCAACUGUGUCUCCAGCAUCAGGUCAUUCUUCACCACCUCAAAGUACAAGCUCUUCUACAACUGAGACUCAAACAGCGGAACCUAUAAGACUACCUACCAGUUCAAGCUCUUUUACAUCUGAAUCUCAAACAGCAGAACCUACAA